GGGAAUUUUUGUCAAUGGGGGCAACCCUGAACAAGCAACGCCGCGUGAAGGACGAAGACCUUCGGGUUGUAAACUUCUGUCGGAGGGGACGAAAGCAGUGGUGGUUAAUACCCACUAUUGUUGACGGUACACGGCGAAGAAGCACCGGCUAACUCCGUGCCAGCAGCCGCGGUAAGACGGAGGGUGCUAGCGUUGUUCGGAAUCACUGGGCGUAAAGGGCGCGUAGGCGGCUGUGGCAGUCGGGUGUGAAAGCCCGGAGCUCAACUCCGGAAUUGCACUCGAGACGCCACGGCUGGAGGCCGGAAGAGGAGGGUGGAAUACCCAGUGUAGAGGUGAAAUUCGUAGAUAUUGGGUGGAACACCGGUGGCGAAAGCGGCUCUCUGGUCCGGACCUGACGCUGAGGCGCGAAAGCGUGGGGAGCAAA
rnacentral:rRNA from 1 species